rnacentral:rRNA from 1 species
AGAGUUUGAUCCUGGCUCAGGAUGAACGCUGGCGGCGUGCCUAAUACAUGCAAGUCGAGCGAACGGACGAGAAGCUUGCUUCUCUGAUGUUAGCGGCGGACGGGUGAGUAACACGUGGAUAACCUACCUAUAAGACUGGGAUAACUUCGGGAAACCGGAGCUAAUACCGGAUAAUAUUUUGAACCGCAUGGUUCAAAAGUGAAAGGCGGUCUUGCUGUCACUUAUAGAUGGAUCCGCGCUGCAUUAGCUAGUUGGUAAGGUAACGGCUUACCAAGGCAACGAUGCAUAGCCGACCUGAGAGGGUGAUCGGCCACACUGGAACUGAGACACGGUCCAGACUCCUACGGGAGGCAGCAGUAGGGAAUCUUCCGCAAUGGGCGAAAGCCUGACGGAGCAACGCCGCGUGAGUGAUGAAGGUCUUCGGAUCGUAAAACUCUGUUAUUGGGGAAGAACAUAUGUGUAAGUAACUGUGCACAUCUUGACGGUACCUAAUCAGAAAGCCACGGCUAACUACGUGCCAGCAGCCGCGGUAAUACGUAGGUGGCAAGCGUUAUCCGGAAUUAUCGGGCGUAAAGCGCGCGUAGGCGGUUUUUUAAGUCUGAUGUGAAAGCCCACGGCUCAACCGUGGAGGGUCAUUGGAAACUGGAAAACUUGAGUGCAGAAGAGGAAAGUGGAAUUCCAUGUGUAGCGGUGAAAUGCGCAGAGAUAUGGAGGAACACCAGUGGCGAAGGCGACUUUCUGGUCUGUAACUGACGCUGAUGUGCGAAAGCGUGGGGAUCAAACAGGAUUAGAUACCCUGGUAGUCC